rnacentral:rRNA from 1 species
UAGGGAAUCUUCGGCAAUGGGGGCAACCCUGACCGAGCAACGCCGCGUGAGUGAAGAAGGUUUUCGGAUCGUAAAGCUCUGUUGUAAGAGAAGAACGUGUGUGAGAGUGGAAAGUUCACACAGUGACGGUAACUUACCAGAAAGGGACGGCUAACUACGUGCCAGCAGCCGUGGUAAUACGUAGGUCCCGAGCGUUGUCCGGAUUUAUUGGGCGUAAAGCGAGCGCAGGCGGUUUAAUAAGUCUGAAGUUAAAGGCAGUGGCUUAACCAUUGUUCGCUUUGGAAACUGUUAAACUUGAGUGCAGAAGGGGAGAGUGGAAUUCCAUGUGUAGCGGUGAAAUGCGUAGAUAUAUGGAGGAACACCGGUGGCGAAAGCGGCUCUCUGGUCUGUAACUGACGCUGAGGCUCGAAAGCGUGGGGAGCAAACAGG